GACCGGGCAGAAGCAGCAACGAUCGUAGGCAGCACAGGGCGAGCAGAAGAGCUGCCUCAGCACCAGGCAAGCAGAGAAGUGACUUUGCCUAUGUUGAGAUCUCUAUUAUAAGGACACCACCAAAGUUAAACCAAGAAGAGAUCAACAGCCUAAACAGACCCAAAACAAUAAGAAAAUUGAAACAGUAAUGCAAAACUUCCUGACUACAAAAAGCCUAGGCUCAGAUGGAUUCACAGUAGAAUUCUACCAGACAGCCAAAGAAGCUGUGAUAAUGUUGGUGGACUGUUUGAACUGCUGCUGAUGUCCAUGUGUCCUGUGGACCCCUGCGGAAUCAUCAGUAUACCAGAUGUCAGAGAGGGGAGUAGUCUAUUCUCAACUGGGACUUAGUUCCAAGGCAUUCAUCUCUUGGAGACCUACAUUCAGCAUCGCCGUAUACUUUGCUGGUCCUAGGAUGUCGAUCGCCCCCCAAGCCCACCAGGCUUGGGUCUUCAACAAGAAAAGAGUCAAGACAAAGGUCUUGAUUUUAUUAUAAAAAGUUUAAUUCUUAGCAGUCAGGUGAGCAUCACAGAAUGGCAUUUUGUUGUGAGGAACACAGAUCUUAUAUAGGAAUCAGAUUUGGGGUAACCAAGAAAUCACCAAGGAUAUUUUACUAACAGAAAGUAACUACGGACACAGCAGGUUGCUGCAUUACCUCACUGACUCUGGUGCCUGAAGACCGUACCGAAAGUAAAUUUCUAAGAGUCCUGAUUUAUCAUGGAGGCACAGCCUGUCAGCUCUGACUGCUGAAACAGAGAGCUCAGAAGCUCUUAAAGUGGCAC